GCUAUGAGAGAGAAAAUAUGAAGUUUUCUUUCCCCAGGCUCAGUCCAGGAGAGCAUAGGGCUUUUCCCCAUGAUGUACAGUCCCUUUCCACAACAUUGGAGAUGAAGCUGGUCGUGGAGUCUGCACCUGCACAUUCCUAUGACUUCCUAAGGUUCUGUGGACAAUGACUGAGAGAUAAACCAUGUAGGAAACAGCC